rnacentral:rRNA from 1 species
GAUGAACGCUGGCGGCGUGCCUAAUACAUGCAAGUCGAGCGAACAGACGAGGAGCUUGCUCCUCUGACGUUAGCGGCGGACGGGUGAGUAACACGUGGAUAACCUACCUAUAAGACUGGGAUAACUUCGGGAAACCGGAGCUAAUACCGGAUAAUAUAUUGAACCGCAUGGUUCAAUAGUGAAAGACGGUUUUGCUGUCACUUAUAGAUGGAUCCGCGCCGCAUUAGCUAGUUGGUAAGGUAACGGCUUACCAAGGCAACGAUGCGUAGCCGACCUGAGAGGGUGAUCGGCCACACUGGAACUGAGACACGGUCCAGACUCCUACGGGAGGCAGCAGUAGGGAAUCUUCCGCAAUAGGCGAAAGCUUGACGGAGCAACGCCGCGUGAGUGAUGAAGGUCUUCGGAUCGUAAAACUCUGUUAUUAGGGAAGAACAAAUGUGUAAGUAACUAUGCACGUCUUGACGGUACCUAAUCAGAAAGCCACGGCUAACUACGUG